UGUAACCUAAUUGCCAUUCUUUAAUGGACUCAUCCCUUUGUCUUUGCAUACAGUACACACGACUCCUCUCCAUUAAAAAGAGAACCCACGGCUGCUCCUUUGCUUUGAGCUUGAACCCGUGCAUUUGCUUUUAAUUUUCAGCCAUGUUCUUCCUUCUUCGUAAAGCUUUCGUCCAUUCCCUUCGUGGAACCCCUAGUAGGCUGUUUGGAUUUGGUCUUUCGGUCCAAUUUAUGGUGUUGCCUUUUGUCGAUAUUGUCUGAGCCCUUAAUUUACACCAUCAUAGCCUCACAUAUCAGAGAUUUCAUUUGUUAAUGGACUGCAACUUGGUAUUAGAGCCUUGCGUGUGCAAAAACAGGAAGGAAAAAACUGAUAGUGAAGGAAGCUGUGUAAAAUCUGUCGAAAAUCAACCAACCCACACCUGCAAUUGAGUUUUUGGACCAAACCAGACGCCUGUAGAUCAAAUAAAGACAACCUUUCGACUCCAGAUGAUGAGGCAAAGCUCCCUGGUCGGCACGCGUGGUACGUGGAGUAGCAAGUGCGAUGGCAUGUGAAGCCCUCACAUAGUGACGGUGGUGGUACAUGCGGACACGAGCGGUGGAGUCUCGCAGGGAUGCUUGAAGAUUGAUUAUACCUGGCAGGUUUGCGGACUACUAAGCGUGUGUAUUUUUGGAACCAUGGUGGAGGUUUGUUCAGUUUUGAUCCCAAACAAACUAUAGGGGCUUCGAUCAUUAACUGGUGGGAUAUUAUACUUCAUAGGCUUUUAUAGCCAAGGAGUAAAGAUUUAAAUAAAUACCUCGUCUUCAUAAUUUGGUAGCUCAAUUGUAAAGAUAGACUAAAAACCAUUAAUAAAUCACUUGGAAGAUUAAAACGGGCUCGACCCAGCUGCCGUG